rnacentral:rRNA from 1 species
GACGAACGCUGGCGGCGUGCUUAACACAUGCAAGUCGAACGGAAAGGCCCUGCUUUUGUGGGGUGCUCGAGUGGCGAACGGGUGAGUAACACGUGAGUAACCUGCCCUUGACUUUGGGAUAACUUCAGGAAACUGGGGCUAAUACCGGAUAGGAGCUCCUGCUGCAUGGUGGGGGUUGGAAAGUUUCGGCGGUUGGGGAUGGACUCGCGGCUUAUCAGCUUGUUGGUGGGGUAGUGGCUUACCAAGGCUUUGACGGGUAGCCGGCCUGAGAGGGUGACCGGCCACAUUGGGACUGAGAUACGGCCCAGACUCCUACGGGAGGCAGCAGUGGGGAAUAUUGCACGAUGGGCGUAAGCCUGAUGCAGCAACGCCGCGUGCGGGAUGACGGCCUUCGGGUUGUAAACCGCUUUCGCCUGUGACGAAGCGUGAGUGACGGUAAUGGGUAAAGAAGCACCGGCUAACUACGUG